CGCAUCUGCGCAUGCAGCAUAUCAAUAAGCGGAGGAAAAGAAACUAACAAGGAUUCCCUUAGUAACGGCGAGUGAAGCGGGAAGAGCUCAAAUUUGAAAUCUUCAAGGUUUUACCUUGACGAAUUGUAGUUUAAAGAAGUGUUUUCUGUUAGAUUUGAGUAGCAAAAGUUCCUUGGAAUAGGGACAUCAUAGAGGGUGAGAAUCCCGUAUUUGACCAUUAUUAUUCAGCUUUGUGAUAGCACUUUCAAAGAGUCGGAUUGUUUGGGAAUGCAGUCCAAAAUGGGUGGUAAAUUUCAUCUAAAGCUAAAUAUUGGCGAGAGACCGAUAGCGAACAAGUACCGUGAGGGAAAGAUGAAAAGAACUUUGAAAAGAGAGUUAAACAGUACGUGAAAUUGUCAAAAGGGAAGCGUUUGACACCAGUGUUGUUUUCUCGAAAAUCAAUUAAAAAGAGUUUGAUUUUGUUGUGUAUUGACCUUAACAGCUUGCAUUUCAAUUUUCUUGCUUUUUUUAAUGCACUUUUCGUUUAACAAGUCAACAUCAGUUUCUUUUGUUGUAAAAAGGUCAUUGGAAGGUGGCUUUCUUUUCGGAGAAAGUGUUUAUAGCCUUUGACUCCUGCAAUCGGAGAGACUGAGGUCUGCAGCGUAGAUCCUUCGGGGUUAGAUACAUUUGUGCUAAGUUAUAGCUUUUUAUAGACAACUUGUUGACUAUGAUUAGUCUUGUAGCUUACUCGCUUAUGCUAUUUUACCUACGCUUAGGAUGUUGAACUCUAUCACACACAG
rnacentral:rRNA from 1 species